rnacentral:rRNA from 1 species
UACAGGGGGCCCGAGCGUUAGUCGGAAUCACUGGGCUUAAAGCGUGCGCAGGCGGGCCUGUAAGCAUCUCGUGAAAUCCCUCGGCUCAACCGGGGAAUUGCGGGGUGGACUGCGGGCCUCGAGGGAGGCAGAGGCCGACGGAACGAUAGGUGGAGCGGUGGAAUGCGUAGAUAUCUAUCGGAACGCCGAAGGUGAAGACAGUCGGCUGGGCCUUUCCUGACGCUCAUGCACGAAAGCGUGGGGAGCAAACAGG